rnacentral:rRNA from 1 species
UUUGUACACACCGCCCGUCGCUCCUACCGAUUGAAUGGUCCGGUGAAGUGUUCGGAUCGCGGCGACGCCGGCGGUCCGCCGCCGGCGACGUGGCGAGAAGUUCAUUAAACCUUAUCAUUUAGAGGAAGGAGAAGUCGUAACAAGGUUUCCGUAGGUGAACCUGCGGAAGGAUCAUUG